rnacentral:rRNA from 1 species
AUUGAACGCUGGCGGCAGGCCUAACACAUGCAAGUCGAGCGGAUGAAGGGAGCUUGCUCCUGGAUUCAGCGGCGGACGGGUGAGUAAUGCCUAGGAAUCUGCCUGGUAGUGGGGGAUAACGUCCGGAAACGGGCGCUAAUACCGCAUACGUCCUGAGGGAGAAAGUGGGGGAUCUUCGGACCUCACGCUAUCAGAUGAGCAUAGGUCGGAUUAGCUAGUUGGUGGGGUAAAGGCCUACCAAGGCGACGAUCCGUAACUGGUCUGAGAGGAUGAUCAGUCACACUGGAACUGAGACACGGUCCAGACUCCUACGGGAGGCAGCAGUGGGGAAUAUUGGACAAUGGGCGAAAGCCUGAUCCAGCCAUGCCGCGUGUGUGAAGAAGGUCUUCGGAUUGUAAAGCACUUUAAGUUGGGAGGAAGGGCAGUAAGUUAAUACCUUGCUGUUUUGACGUUACCAACAGAAUAAGCACCGGCUAACUUCGUG